rnacentral:misc_RNA from 1 species
AGGUAUGCCUGUUUGAGAAUCACACCAUCACUGAUCCCGAUUGCACCCCGUGCAGUUGGUCGACAUGGGCCUUCAGCACUGAUCGCCUCGAAUUGCUCGCGAUCGUCGUGAUAUAAUGAUGGCAGCGAUGCGUCCAGUGUUGUCGACGAUCAAUCCGUGCUCGUGAUCUCAGAUCAGGCAAGGCUACCCGCUGAACUUAA